GCGGCUCCGCGCACGCUGCUGCUGUGCGGAAACUGCUCCUCAGAUCCUUCCCCUGAAUCGUACAUCCCUGAAGGAGUUGGUGUCAUUUGAGCAUGUGGCUGUGGACUUCACCUGGGAGGAGUGGCAGGACCUGAAUGAUGCUCAAUACAGGGAUGUGAUGCUGGAGACCUACAGCAACCUGGAGUCACUGAGUAAAACUCCCCAGUAACUUUCAGAACACUACAUUAACAAAGCUGAGGUGAUUGUCAAGUUAGAAGAAGGAGCAGAGCCAUGGACAAUGGAAGAAUGCCCAAACAAGAUCAUGCAAGGAGGGGCAAUGGAGCAAAUCCCAGUUCCACUUGGUUAUUGCCUUGUGCGUGGUUCUACCUGCACAUAGAUCUGCAGACCUUCCAAUGGCCCCAGUGUCGGUUUUCACUGAAGAAGCCUCCUGGAGUCAGCAGUUGCCCCUUCUCUGUCCUUGGAGCCUUAGUGAUGGGAGGAGACCUAAGCCCCAAGGAGGGGUAAGUGUGAGUAAACAAAAUGGGGUCCAGCAUAGAACCUGUGGUGUGGCUGGAUGCAAGUGUGUGGGGAAAAUAGGAUAAUUUAGUCAGUCUCCCUCUACAUUUCUCAUAAACAAGUUUUGUGUGGGGUGGAGUUAGUGUGCAUGUGCACCCAUGUAUCUUUCUAGUUAAUUGCUUUUGUGUGUUCUUCAGUUUGUGAAGCAGUGCAGGCGGCAGAGCUGGCAUCUAAGUGUCUAACAAUAGAGCAUGUUUACUCUACUGGCAGCUGCUCAGUUUCAGUUUUUC